rnacentral:piRNA from 1 species
UAGUGGAGCUGGUGUCAGAAGGAAUGUUC